UACGAAGGGGGCUAGCGUUGCUCGGAAUCACUGGGCGUAAAGCGCCCGUAGGUGGCUUUUUAAGUCAGGGGUGAAAUCCUGGAGCUCAACUCCAGAACUGCCUUUGAUACUGAGAAGCUUGAGUCCGGGAGAGGUGAGUGGAACUGCGAGUGUAGAGGUGAAAUUCGUAGAUAUUCGCAAGAACACCAGUGGCGAAGGCGGCUCACUGGCCCGGUACUGACGCUGAGGUGCGAAAGCGUGGGGAGCAAACAGG
rnacentral:rRNA from 1 species